rnacentral:rRNA from 1 species
UAGGGAAUAUUGGACAAUGGGGGCAACCCUGAUCCAGCCAUGCCGCGUGAGUGAAGAAGGCCCUCGGGUUGUAAAGCUCUUUUGUCCGGAAAGAAAAGCUUCGGGUUAAUACCCCGGGGUUCUGACGGUACCGGAAGAAUAAGCACCGGCUAACUUCGUGCCAGCAGCCGCGGUAAUACGAAGGGUGCAAGCGUUACUCGGAAUUACUGGGCGUAAAGCGUGCGUAGGUGGUUGUUUAAGUCUGAUGUGAAAGCCCUGGGCUCAACCUGGGAAUGGCAUUGGAAACUGGGCAGCUAGAGUGCGGUAGAGGGUAGUGGAAUUCCCGGUGUAGCAGUGAAAUGCGUAGAGAUCGGGAGGAACAUCUGUGGCGAAGGCGACUGCCUGGACCAGCACUGACACUGGGGCACGAAAGCGCGGGGAG